rnacentral:lncRNA from 1 species
UGGAUAUGGGGGACUUUUGGUAUAGCAUUGGAAAUGUAAAUGAGUUAAAUACCUAAUAAAAAAUGGAAAAAAAAAAAAACAAACAGGCAAAAUGCCAUUAUAAUUAAAAAACAAAAACAAAAACCCAAAACAGAGCAAAUGAAACAAAAAAUUCACAAGGAUGCGGUUGAGUUUAUUUUGUUAGCCAGCUACUCCUAGGCGUGGCCUGCAGUGAAGUAUGAUUGCUAUCCCCAGUGACACUCAAUAGAGAAAGCUGGGUUUCCCUGUGUUAAUGGGCAUCAGUUGUAGCGUCUGCUUUCCCUCUCAGCACUAGAGAGCACCACAACCUAUCUGUGCAGGUUGUGGGUGCAGGCAACUUCCUUUUCUAGGUCCCAUCUCAGACCAUUAGCCAUAUAGCAUUUAGAAAGCAACAUUGUGCUCUUGGUUUGUUUUUACUAGUAAGCUUUUCUGUUACAAAUCAAACUCAGCAAUCCCCCUCAUAGAACUGUUACUUGGGUUAAUAUGAUAGGGCUGUAAGUGAUUGCAUCACCAUUGCAGGACUGCUCCUGGCUGGGGCAAAGGUACUAAAACUGUGGCGUGGAGAGGCCAGGAAACCGGAUGGCUCCUCUAAGAAACACAGUACUGAAGCCAGUUCCAGACAUCAUCCUGUUGUUACUAUUAGCUUCAUUUUCUGAAAUUCCAAGAAAUCGCUUCUCAAAUUUUGAUUCCCUCCUACUUUUAAAGUUGACAUUGUUUUGAAUAGUGACUGUGGUUACUAAGGAAUAGAGGCUCCUGGGAAACUUUGGUAACCUCAGUCAGCCUCACAUCUGGGAGCAGUGCCAGCCUGAUAAACUGUAAGAGCACAGCUGCCUGUCACUUGUUCUUUCAUUAGUGAGCACUUCCCAUCAAGUCAGAUGGUCUUUGUUGUAGCUAAGGUUUCCACUUAGGUCUUCUCCCAACUCCUUCAGAGACUGGAAGGGGGCUUCCUAGUGCUUGCCCUUCACCUAGACCUGCUCUGUCUGCAGCCUUUUCUUCUCUUUGUCUCUAUUCCUUGCCAUCUUUCUCUGAGUAAGUGUUAGAAAUAGUUGGCAUUGGGGGCUCAGGAUAGGAGGUAAUGGCUUGGAUUAGUGGUAAACAAAGGAAUGAAAUAGAAUGAAGAAUCUCUUUGCCAAGAUCAAGAGUCAAGGAUUCAGCUCUUAUCAGAAAGCCAGAAUAAGUGAUUUCUAGAAAGCUUGGCAAUUAGCAUUGACUUAGUGGAUGGCACUGUUGACAAGGGAAAGGAAGCCUGUGUGUCACUGAACAUAGAGUACAACUGGAAAUCCUAUAUAAACUCUUGGCUACAUCACAUUCCCACUCAUAAUGGGCUUUUAUUUCUCACCAUUCUCAGAAAUUUAAUGAAAUGUAAUGAAAAUCUUAGAAAUUUGAAACUAUGCCUUCUUAGUACAUAGUUAGGUUUUACACAUCUUGUUUUGCCUUAAAUGAUCUAGACCAAUAGUUGGCAAACUAGUGUGUUGGAACAACACUGGCUUUUGCAGCCUCUGUCUUAUGAGUAAAGUUUUAUUGAGCCAUAGUGCCCAUUGGUUUGUAUAUAGACUGUGGCUGCUUUCACGUUCAGAUAGCAGAGCUGAGUUGUUGUACUCUGUAACCUAUAAGACCUAAAGGAUUACUAAUUGGCUCUUUACAGAAAUGAUCCACAUCUGCUUUAGAGCAGUGGUUCUCGACCUUCCUACUGCUGUGACCCUUUAAUGCAGUUCCUCACAUUGUAGUGACCCCCAACUAUAAAAUUAUCUUUGUUGCUACUUUAUAACUGUAAUUUUGCUACUGUUACGAAUCAUAAUGUAAAUAUCUGUGUUUUCUGAUAGUCUUAGGCGACCCUUGGGAAAGGGUUGUUCUACUCCCCAAGGGCUGGGGACAAACAGCUUGAGAACCGAUGCUCUAGAUGGAUUGUGUCAGGGGUGGUGAUAGUUGGAGAAAGCGCAUGCUUCCUAUGAUAGCUACUUUUGAAUUGCUGUAACAAAUGCCAGGGCAAAAGAACUGUGAUGGAAGAAGUGUUCAUUUGCUUCACUGUUUCACAAGAUUCAAUACAUGGUUGCUUGGGCAGAACCUCGUGGCUAACAGAGCAAGCAGGAGGCUCAAGGGCAUGAUACUCACUUCAGAGAAAGGCCCCCAAUGUCCCACUCCUUCCAACAAGCCCUACCUUCUGCAGUUUCUAGCCCCUCCCCCCUAGUCUGUCCCAAUUUUGAAUCCUUAGUAAAUUAAACCACUCAUUAUGUCAGAGCCUUCACAAUUUAGUGAUCUCUGGAAAGCCCUUUGCAGACACACCCAGAACUGUGCUCUAUCUCCUGAGCCUUUCUCCACUAAUCCUGUUGACAGUCAAGAUUAGGCAUCACAUACUGGAUAGACAAACGGAUCUUCCAGGUCUUUAUUCUGUUUAAAUUCUGGUAGUAAAAAGAAACUCUUAUUACUUACUUACUUACUUACUUACUUAUUUAUUUAUUUUACACUCCAGAUUUUAUAUUCCUCCGGUUCCACAUCCCAUACCUCCUUCCCUUGAGCUGGAUCCCACUUUGUGUCUGUCUCUGGACCUACUUUUCCUCAGGCUCUGCUCUAUUUCCAUCCCUGCAGUUCUUUCAGACAGGAACAAUUAUGGGUCAGCUUUGACUGAGGGAUGGCAACCCCAUCCCUCACUUGAUGCCCUGUCUUCCUGCUGGAGGUGGGCUCUACAAGUUCCCUCUCCCUACUGUAGAGCACUUCAUCUAAGGUCCCUCCAUUUGAGUUCUAUGGGUCUCUCACCUCCCAGGUCUCUAGUAUAUUCUGGAGGGUUCCCCCCAAAAGAAACUUUUAUAAGUGCAAAUAUUACAUUUUUAAAACACACUUUGUCAUUUCCUGUUUCUACAUGUGUUCACAGUCUCAUAUGGACUUACUCUAAAUCUGUCAUCUGCUAAGUGACCCUGAAGUUCAUGGUGCUCCAACAGCCUCAUUUUAGAGAUGGCAAACACUGAGUCCCUUAGAAAUUGUCACAGAAGCAGAAUUGCUAGUGGCAAUUCCUGGGAGUAAAGUGCUGGUUUAUUUGGUGACUUGUUUUCUUGUUUUAAAAUUUUUCAGCUGUGAUGCAUACAGGCAUUUACAGAUGAAGUCAUGCCCAGUCUGUCUUUAGUUCUAAGUACUUUUUAGAAAAGUAAAGAAAAAGCUGAAGAGAAAAAAAGGGUUAAACCUAAGUGUAACAUAACUCUGCUACUAAUACUUUUGCAAGUGUUAGGACGCACAUCAUUCUCUGGGGAACAGGAGCAUGAAGGAGGAUGUACAGUUGGCGUAUAGGGGGCUACUGCAGACAGAGCUACAGAUCUGUCUUCCUUCUUCAAGCCUUUUUCAUGGUGUGAUUCCUGUGAAGGAAUUACAGAGACACACGCACUGCAUUCACAGUUCCUAAGGAACUUGUAAGAGCAACAUUGAGGAACCCACCCAGAGCUCACGUUGCUAUCAGAAAGUCCUACCACUAUGUUUAAAUGGUUUCCUUUUGUGAGGAGAACAAAUUGUAAUUUGUAUUUUAUAACAAAAGUACUGAUUUCUGAUUUUAUAACUUAACUAAAAAACACUAAGAAAAUGAGGUGUAUUUUCACACACACACACAAAAAAAAGGGUAAACGAAAUAUACCAGAAAUUAUAGCCAAUUUCCUCUUAUAAUCCUGGCAAGAUUUGUGCUAUCACAAUUGGGGCAGAGCCAUUAUUUUCCUCAAGAUUCAGUAUUAGAAAGGCCACUCCCUUUAUUGCAUCAGAAAACAAAGAAUUUCUUAUUGCUGCUUCCCUGGGGACCCAUUUUAGACAAGAGAAAUCUGGAGAGAAGCUUGCGCAAAAGAUGUGCACCAAAACUAGACUAUGCUAGCAGAUCCUGGCGCCUUUCAGGCCUAUUCUGUAGAUAAUUUAGAAAAACCUUAACCCCAGAUUUUGUUUUUAAUUAGCCUCUGAAGAAUUGUGUAGCUAAUUCUUGUCUCCCACUGCAAUAACUCAGAUUUUUUUAUUUUCUUUCCUUCUACAUUUGAAGUGCCUUAACUUUUC